AGGAAGGUGGGGAUGACGUCAAGUCAUCAUGGCCCUUACGACCAGGGCUACACACGUGCUACAAUGGCGCAUACAAAGAGAAGCGACCUCGCGAGAGCAAGCGGACCUCAUAAAGUGCGUCGUAGUCCGGAUUGGAGUCUGCAACUCGACUCCAUGAAGUCGGAAUCGCUAGUAAUCGUGGAUCAGAAUGCCACGGUGAAUACGUUCCCGGGCCUUGUACACACCGCCCGUCACACCAUGGGAGUGGGUUGCAAAAGAAGUAGGUAGCUUAACCUUCGGGAGGGCGCUUACCACUUUGUGAUUCAUGACUGGGGUGAAGUCGUAACAAGGUAACC
rnacentral:rRNA from 1 species